GUCUACAGCCAUACCACCCUGAAUGCCACCCAAUCUUGUCUGAUCUCGGAAGCUAAGCAGGGUCAGGCUAGCUAGGUCAGGUCAGGUAGAGAAAUGGUAACUGUGUGACA
rnacentral:rRNA from 1 species